rnacentral:rRNA from 1 species
UACAGAGGUCCCAAGCGUUGUUCGGAUUCACUGGGCGUAAAGGGUGCGUAGGUGGUGAGGUAAGUCGGAUGUGAAAUCUCCGGGCUCAACCCGGAAAUGGCAUUGGAAACUACCUUGCUGGAGGAUUUGAGGGGAGACUGGAAUUCCUGGUGUAGCGGUGAAAUGCGCAGAUAUCAGGAGGAACACCGGUGGCGAAGGCGGGUCUCUGGGUAGUAACUGACGCUGAGGAACGAAAGCGUGGGUAGCGAACAGG